rnacentral:RNase_P_RNA from 1 species
GGUAGAGAGAGUCCGGCCGCCGCGGCGUUCGGGUCGGAAACGACCCGUUCGCACGACGCGGGAUCGCCCCUCGGGGCGACCCGCGCCCGCGAGGAAAGUCCCCCCACCGUCUGGGCAGGUGACCGGACGCAAGUCCGGAGCGGGAGACCGCUGGCUCUGGAACAGAAACGACACGUCUCGGCCCGACCGAUGAGGCGCGCGAACCCGACCGCAAGGGAGGGGAGCUAACCCGCCGAGGGCCGCGCGGUCGCAAUUGCGACCGCGCUCCGGGCGGCACACGCCGUCCCCUGGGCCGAGGAGCGAUGGAACGGCGAAACCUCACCGGUGCAAGUCCGCGCCACAAGGUAGCCCGGACGCGGCGCGGACGCUCAGCCGAAUGCCGGACCGAACAGAAGGGGGCUUACUCCUCUCUGCC